rnacentral:rRNA from 1 species
GACGAACGCUGGCGGCGUGCUUAACACAUGCAAGUCGAACGGAAAGGCCCUGCUUUUGUGGGGUGCUCGAGUGGCGAACGGGUGAGUAACACGUGAGUAACCUGCCCUUGACUUUGGAAUAACUUCAGGAAACUGGGGCUAAUACCGGAUAGGAGCUCCUGCUGCAUGGUGGGGGUUGGAAAGUUUCGGCGGUUGGGGAUGGACUCGCGGCUUAUCAGCUUGUUGGUGGGGUAGUGGCUUACCAAGGCUUUGACGGGUAGCCGGCCUGAGAGGGUGACCGGCCACAUUGGGACUGAGAUACGGCCCAGACUCCUACGGGAGGCAGCAGUGGGGAAUAUUGCACAAUGGGCGGAAGCCUGAUGCAGCAACGCCGCGUGCGAGAUGACGGCCUUCGGGUUGUAAACCGCUUUCGCCUGUGACGAAGCGUGAGUGACGGUAAUGGGUAAAGAAGCACCGGCUAACUACGUG